rnacentral:lncRNA from 1 species
GAGACCACAAUAUCUGAUGGCCAGUAACAGCAACAAGAUCACAUGGGAUGCAGAGGAACAGAGAAUACUGCUCGGAGGAUAAAAACGAGCCAACUGAAGAAGACCUGGUGUUGGCUACACCAGACAAAGGUCUACACAACCGUUUCAAUGGGGCUCGAAAGCUAAUGAAGGGUGUGGAGUGUAUCAAAAACCGCCAUAUGAACAAUACUGAAGUAGCAACCAAAAAACCUAGAAAGGACAACAAAGAGAAAUCCUGGAAGUGAAACAAAAAGAGAAUGAAAGACUGGCCAGAAGGCUUCAAACGCGGAACUGAACCGGCAGAAGACUCUCUGAGAUCAAAACUGGGACUAUGCAAAUGAGUGAAUCUAAAGAAAAGAAAGAAGAAAAGAUGGAAUAAUGGGGAAUAUAGUAUUGGGGACUUGGUGAAAACUCCCCAAAUUUGAUGAAAGAAAGAAACCAUCUAAGAAGCUGAGUUUAAUCCAUGUAGGCAGAACUAUGUCCAAAUGAAAGACGCAUGUUAUAACCAAGCUAUUGGAAGACAAAGAUAAGAUGACUUAAAAUCAGUAAGAGAGAAAUUAAGACAGAUAAGAGGGGCCCACCUCUCCUUUGUGGCACUGGAAUAGGAGUGAAGUACUAUUAAGGCACUAUUGAAUUCUGUUAAAGUUAAUCGUAAGACUUUAUCACAAGCAUUCCUUUGAAUGUUGUAAAGGAUCACACAGAAACACAGAGCCGAUCAAGGAUUGCCCACAGAGGGGAGAGGAGCGCUGUGGGAAGAUGGGGUAAUGGCAGGCCACUGUCAAUGAAUACAAGGUUUCUUCUGGGGAGUUUAAAACGUAAGAUGACAUUGUGUUCACACAGGCUCAACUGUUCAAACCCAUUUGCCUUAUUGUGUAGAAAGGUUAGGGCUAUAGUGUGUCACUUAUGUCUGCAAACUUGUAGCCAGAGGGGCAGAAGGAUUCGGGAAAGGCAUUUUUAGAAAAGAGAACCUGAUGCAAUUCGUCUCCAAGAUCUCCUGCUAAAACAAAGAUUAGAUGGAGCUGGAGAGGUGGCUCAGUGGUUAAGAACACUCCCAGCUCUGUGAUUUAGGUUGCUAGUACCUGAUAUCAGGCAGCUUAGAACUGUUUGUAGCUCCAGCCCUGGGGAUUUAACACCUCUUCUAGUUUCUAGGGGCACUGCACAAAUAUGCAUAGUACACACACACACAUUCUUAACUCGUAUAUGUAUAUGUAUAUGUAUAUGUAUAUGUAUAUGUAUAUGUAUAUGUAUAUGUAUAUGUAUAUGUAUAUGAUGUAUACACACACACACACACAUACACACACACACACACACACAUACACUGAUCCAUACGCUCACAUACAUUCACUCACAUGCACAAUUUUUAAAACAGCUACUAAGGAAAGAUGAUUCAUUUGUGAGAUAGAGGGAGACGUAGUCAGGAACAGAGAGCAAUAUAAAUGUGGGAGAUCCUAACACCAUUAGGGGGUGGCAGGGUGGAUUCAAACCCGAGGCCCCCUACACACACAGCACAAGUCUACACCCCAGUCCUGUUCUCCAAACCCCAGAUACCCACAUCCGUCCAGCCCAGAAUCUUUGCAGAUGUUGUUCCCACUGGGUACCAGGUUCCCUGCCUCCAGCUCCGCGGUGGUCUCCUGACCCUCCUCAUCCUUCCGACUUCAGCUUAGACUCCCCUGGAAGGCUCCCAGGCCCUCAGGUAAGCCAGCAUCUCCCUGACAGACUGCAAGAGCCUCUGUGCCUUUGCACUCAAGAAGGAGACCUGUUGGUUGCGAGCGUGCGUGCGUGCUCGUGUGAUUAUCUGACUGGUCGCCUGCUUGCAGAUGUGCACCUGAUCCCUAGCCGGAACCCUUAAUCAAUCUCUCCUUCUCUUGGGGGAAGAAAAGGACGAAAAUAAAUUAUGACUUAAACUAU